GACACAGGGAGGUAGUGACAAGAAAUAACAAUACGGGGCUCAACGCCUUGUAAUUGGAAUGAUGGGAACCUAAACCCCUUCCAGAGUAUCAAUUGGAGGGCAAGUCUGGUGCCAGCAGCCGCGGUAAUUCCAGCUCCAAUAGCGUAUAUUAAAAUUGUUGCAGUUAAAAAGCUCGUAGUUGAAUUUCUGCCGCAUCGCGGCGGCCCUCCCGGGCCCAGCGUUGCGGCUUAUUUCGGACUCGCUUGCGUCUCCGAAUGUU
rnacentral:rRNA from 1 species